GGGUUGUGAGGUUAAGCGACUAAGCGUACACGGUGGAUGCCCUGGCAGUCAGAGGCGAUGAAGGACGUGCUAAUCUGCGAAAAGCGUCGGUAAGGUGAUAUGAACCGUUACAGCCGGCGAUGUCCGAAUGGGGAAACCCAGUGUGAUUCGUCACACUAUCGUUAACUGAAUACAUAGGUUAACGAGGCGAACCGGGGGAACUGAAACAUCUAAGUACCCCGAGGAAAAGAAAUCAACCGAGAUUCCCCCAGUAGCGGCGAGCGAACGGGGAGCAGCCCAGAGUCUGAAUCAGCUUGUGUGUUAGUGGAACGGUCUGGAAAGUCCGACGGUACAGGGUGAUAGUCCCGUACACCAAAAUGCACAGGUUGUGAACUCGAAGAGUAGGGCGGGACACGUGGUAUCCUGUCUGAAUAUGGGGGGACCAUCCUCCAAGGCUAAAUACUCCUGACUGACCGAUAGUGAACCAGUACCGUGAGGGAAAGGCGAAAAGAACCCCGGCGAGGGGAGUGAAAAAGAACCUGAAACCGUGUACGUACAAGCAGUGGGAGCACCUUAGGGUGUGACUGCGUACCUUUUGUAUAAUGGGUCAGCGACUUAUAUUCUGUAGCAAGGUUAACCGUAUAGGGGAGCCGCAGGGAAACCGAGUCUUAACUGGGCGUUAAGUUGCAGGGUAUAGACCCGAAACCCGGUGAUCUAGCCAUGGGCAGGUUGAAGGUUGGGUAACACUAACUGGAGGACCGAACCGACUAAUGUUGAAAAAUUAGCGGAUGACUUGUGGCUGGGGGUGAAAGGCCAAUCAAACCGGGAGAUAGCUGGUUCUCCCCGAAAGCUAUUUAGGUAGCGCCUCGUGAACUCAUCUUCGGGGGUAGAGCACUGUUUCGGCUAGGGGGUCAUCCCGACUUACCAACCCGAUGCAAACUACGAAUACCGAAGAAUGUUAUCACGGGAGACACACGGCGGGUGCUAACGUCCGUCGUGAAGAGGGAAACAACCCAGACCGCCAGCUAAGGUCCCAAAGUCAUGGUUAAGUGGGAAACGAUGUGGGAAGGCACAGACAGCCAGGAUGUUGGCUUAGAAGCAGCCAUCAUUUAAAGAAAGCGUAAUAGCUCACUGGUCGAGUCGGCCUGCGCGGAAGAUGUAACGGGGCUAAACCAUGCACCGAAGCUGCGGCAGCGACACUAUGUGUUGUUGGGUAGGGGAGCGUUCUGUAAGCCUGCGAAGGUGACCUGUGAGGGUUGCUGGAGGUAUCAGAAGUGCGAAUGCUGACAUAAGUAACGAUAAAGCGGGUGAAAAGCCCGCUCGCCGGAAGACCAAGGGUUCCUGUCCAACGUUAAUCGGGGCAGGGUGAGUCGACCCCUAAGGCGAGGCCGAAAGGCGUAGUCGAUGGGAAACAGGUUAAUAUUCCUGUACUUGGUGUUACUGCGAAGGGGGGACGGAGAAGGCUAUGUUAGCCGGGCGACGGUUGUCCCGGUUUAAGCAUGUAGGCUGGUUAUCCAGGCAAAUCCGGAUAAUCAAGGCUGAGGUGUGAUGACGAGGCACUACGGUGCUGAAGUAACAAAUGCCCUGCUUCCAGGAAAAGCCUCUAAGCAUCAGGUAACAUCAAAUCGUACCCCAAACCGACACAGGUGGUCAGGUAGAGAAUACCAAGGCGCUUGAGAGAACUCGGGUGAAGGAACUAGGCAAAAUGGUGCCGUAACUUCGGGAGAAGGCACGCUGGUGUGUAGGUGAAGCCCCUGCGGGUGGAGCUGAGACCAGUCGAAGAUACCAGCUGGCUGCAACUGUUUAUUAAAAACACAGCACUGUGCAAACACGAAAGUGGACGUAUACGGUGUGACGCCUGCCCGGUGCCGGAAGGUUAAUUGAUGGGGUUAUCCGUAAGGAGAAGCUCUUGAUCGAAGCCCCGGUAAACGGCGGCCGUAACUAUAACGGUCCUAAGGUAGCGAAAUUCCUUGUCGGGUAAGUUCCGACCUGCACGAAUGGCGUAAUGAUGGCCAGGCUGUCUCCACCCGAGACUCAGUGAAAUUGAACUCGCUGUGAAGAUGCAGUGUACCCGCGGCAAGACGGAAAGACCCCGUGAACCUUUACUAUAGCUUGACACUGAACAUUGAGCCUUGAUGUGUAGGAUAGGUGGGAGGCUUUGAAGCGUGGACGCCAGUCUGCGUGGAGCCAACCUUGAAAUACCACCCUUUAAUGUUUGAUGUUCUAACGUUGGCCCCUAAUCGGGGUUGCGGACAGUGUCUGGUGGGUAGUUUGACUGGGGCGGUCUCCUCCCAAAGCGUAACGGAGGAGCACGAAGGUUAGCUAAUCCUGGUCGGACAUCAGGAGGUUAGUGCAAUGGCAUAAGCUAGCUUGACUGCGAGCGUGACGGCGCGAGCAGGUGCGAAAGCAGGUCAUAGUGAUCCGGUGGUUCUGAAUGGAAGGGCCAUCGCUCAACGGAUAAAAGGUACUCCGGGGAUAACAGGCUGAUACCGCCCAAGAGUUCAUAUCGACGGCGGUGUUUGGCACCUCGAUGUCGGCUCAUCACAUCCUGGGGCUGAAGUAGGUCCCAAGGGUAUGGCUGUUCGCCAUUUAAAGUGGUACGCGAGCUGGGUUUAGAACGUCGUGAGACAGUUCGGUCCCUAUCUGCCGUGGGCGCUGGAGAAUUGAGGGGGGCUGCUCCUAGUACGAGAGGACCGGAGUGGACGCAUCACUGGUGUUCGGGUUGUCAUGCCAAUGGCACUGCCCGGUAGCUAAAUGCGGAAGAGAUAAGUGCUGAAAGCAUCUAAGCACGAAACUUGCCCCGAGAUGAGUUCUCCCUGAGACUUUAAGUCUCCUGAAGGAACGUUGAAGACGACGACGUUGAUAGGCCGGGUGUGUAAGCGCAGCGAUGCGUUGAGCUAACCGGUACUAAUGAACCGUGAGGCUUAACCUUACAACGCCGAAG
rnacentral:rRNA from 1 species